GGGGACGCGUGCUUUCCUCUCACAUUCAAGAUUUCACUCCCUAAACGGUGUCGUACUAAUUGUACCCUCCUCAUCUCUCACUUCCUUAGUCUCGAGACUCUUGACAAUUCCACCCCGAGGGCACACUCAGAAAACGAAACUUGACACCAGAAGCCCGUCACAAACCCUAAAAAAAUGUCGGGCGGCUUUUUCCGGGUAGGAAUCUCCCUUUAAUUUGUUUGGCUAUCCGCUAUUUAAAGUUUUUUGUCCGAAUCGAAUUGCUUUUUUGUGAAUUAAAAUUUGUGCGGGUUUCGUGAAUUUAGAUCUUCCUUCUUUUAGAACCUGAUUAUUAUAAUUUUAAUUUCAAUUAGGGCACAUCGGCUGAUCAGGAUACAAGGUUCUCGAACAAGCAAGCAAAACUGCUCAAAUCUCAGAAAUUCGCUCCUGAAUUGGAACACACGGUUCGUCUUUGCAAUUUUUCCAUUUAUGUAUGCUUAUUAUUUAUGAUUAUGAUUGUAUUAUUAUUUAUUAUUUUUUUGUUUAUUUUCUGUAUGAAAAUGUACUUAGGUGGACAUGUUGAAAAGUUAAGAUGGAUAUCAUGAGUUGAAGGGGUUGCCACACUGAUUUUUAUUUUUACUUUUUAAUUUUAUAUUCGGUUUCUUCUGAAUUUUUGAAAUUUUUUCCUUUUUUGUUGGGGUGGGGAGUGGGUGGGUGGGACAUAUAUUGAAUAAUGUUGAAUUUUUUUAUGAAAGUCAAAUGUGUUUCUAGGUGGACAUGGCUAAAGUGAAGAUGGAUGUUAUGAAACCGUGGAUUGCAAAGCGCGUGACUGAGCUUAUUGGAUUUGAAGAUGAAGUUCUUAUUAAUUUCAUUUAUGGUCUACUUGAGGGAAAGGUAUCUCAAAACACUGACUUGUAUUGUUUACUUGUGUGAUUGUCAGUUAGCUGAUUUUAAUUGUUUGAUGAUUGAUUUAUUAUAAAUGUGAGUUAUUGAGCUUUGAGAAUGCAGAACUAUUUUUGACUUCUUAAUAUUAAAAAUUUAUAUCUACUCUAAACAUUUGACGGUGGUUAUGUUUUAAUAGGCAAGUGAGGCCAUUAAACUGUUAAGUUAAUUUUAGAGAAUGCUUCUGCUUUGGAUAACUGUUGGUGUGGAUAUGAUUGGGUGCAGGAAGUUAAUGGGAAGGCGGUUCAAAUUCAACUUACUGGUUUCAUGGAGAGAAACACUGGGAAGUUUAUGAAAGAGCUUUGGUCACUACUUCUGAGUGCACAGAAAAAUGUGAGUGGUGUUCCACAGCAGUUUCUGGAUGCUAAAGAGGAGGAAACUAAGAACAAGAAGGUCUACUCACGCUUCCUUAAGUUUUUGGAUCUUCUAUAUCUGUGGUGUGUCUUUGUUUAAUAAUAUGUCCAUGGGGUGUUACAGGCAGAGACUGAUCGUAUCGCAAAUGAAAUUCAAAGGAAGAAAGAGAAGGAAAAGCAGGAUCUUGAGCAAGAGAUAGAUAAAAUGGUAAUUGAAAACCCUUUUUUAUGCAAAAGUUAGAUUAUAUAGAUCUCAAAUUUUGUUCCUUACUUCCUUUCAUGUUUCAUUUUGUUCAGCUUGCUUCUGUUUCUGCAAUUUUUUUGGUCAUGUCCUUUACUUCAAACUGCUGUAGGAUGGUGAUGGUGACAUCUCAAGAUACAAGAAUGCUGGCUCAGACCUAAAUUCAAAACACGAUUCGAGGUCUUCCAGCCCCCGAUUGGCAGAUGGGAAAGAGCAUCGUGAGAGAAAUGGCCUGAGAGGACGAAGCAGGUAGGAAUUAACUGGAUUUACUAAUUACUCAAAAAUUUUAAGGUACUCAAUUGGCAGGGGUUUGAUUUUAUUUUUUGGAAUGUCUUAAACUCUAAACGGAACAAAACUUAGACCACAUCUUGAUUUGCAUGUACUCCUAAUUUUCUACUGCUUAAUUUUUUGCUCUUAGGCUUUGUGUAAAUGAUAGGAAAAUCUUAUACAGGAUAAUAUUUCCCAAGAUAAAUGAGUGGACAAAAUGGAUGACUCAAGGAUAUGGAUGGAAGUGAGGUCUUGUAAACUAUCUUGGAGCUCAUAGCAAUUUGAACGAGAAUGUUAUGAAGUUGGACAGUUUUGGGUUAAUUUUUUAUGCCAGAAAUGGUUUUCUACGUAAAUAUUCUUAGAACUAGAAAGAGUAAAAAACAUGGAGAUUACUAGAGGAGGAUGAGAGAGUUUUGCUCAUUCGAGGGUAGGUCAAAAUCAUGCAUUUAAUUUCAAACUCUGUGCAUCAAGUCUACUGACAUGAAGAAAUUUUCCCACUUCAAUAAGGAUUUGGACAAAUUGGAGUAAUUUAAAAGUCUGGAGACUAUGAUCGCUUGAAAUUGGGACUAACCUAGAGUCUUGGAUUCUUAUGAAUUGCAACUUCUAAAUAUUAUUUUAAUUUUCUAGAUCAAUUAGGACUUAUGCAAUGUAAAAAGGGAUAAAUUCCAUUCGCUGUAACUAUGCUUUCGCUUUAUGUCAAUUAGGUGACUUUAGGAGUGGCGUGUGGUUUGGCUCAGUUCGAUCUUAAAGGGAAUCUAACCAAACUAAUUACCAAUGUGAAUUUUACAAAUGGAAUUAUUGGUUCCUUAUGUAUCGAACUGGAAAUGGACAAAUUGUUUCCUAUUUCUUUCGGUACUUUAUACUUAAAAUAAUGAAAAUAGAUUAUGAAAUCAAUUGUCAUUCCUAUAAUCUAACAAACAAAAAAUCAAUGAAUAGCAAGUCACUAAUAUAUUCCACAUGCUUUUUUAUUAGAGGUACUAGCUAGAAUAUUUAAAUUAUACAUAUUGUCCAAUGAUUAAAAUAACACCAAGUAUGUAAGUUUAAAAAAUAAAAAUUAAAAAAAUGCCAUUAAUCAAGAAUUACCACUAAUUUUGCUUUCCAGUUUCAAAUUCUCACUAAAUUUGCUUUAAAAUUGCCAAUUCACAAGUGAACAAUGUAAUAUGGAGUCAAAUUUGAAUAAUAAGUUAACUAAAUAUCAAAUCCCAAAUUUUAGUAGAAUUAACAAUCUACCAUAAUAAAAUUUAACUUAAGAACUCUUCAAUGUCUUCAACUUACAAAAUUUUAGUAGAAUUAACAAUCAACUGUAAUAAAAUUAAACUUAAGAAGUCUUCAAUGUCUUCAACUUAGCCCUUGUUUGACACCCAUUAAAAUUCAAAUACAUUUUUUACUCUUUUUUUCAACCAUACAUUUUUCAAUAAAAUAAUAUUACACGUAAAUUAAAAAAAAAAAAAAAUCUUUUUUAAUCACACAUCCUCCCAAAAAUACUAUUUUAUCAUACAUUUUACCAAAUUUUCUCUUUAUAAUGUGUCAAACAAGGGCUUAUCUGCAUCAAUCCUUUUAAAGAGUGAGUCCACCCCUUGCAUUGAUUUUAAAAUAUAAAAAUUAAAUGUUAAUAUAUGAACGAAAAAUUACACAUAAGAAAUUACAAAUAAAAUAUAAUUACGGUCGUACUUUCAACUAGAUCAUCAAUGAAUUUUCACAAUCAUUGAAUAAUCCUUUGUGUGAUUAUGUUUCUUAACAAAUUCUACAUGAUAUUGCAAAAAAAAAAAAAAAAAUUUUUUUUUAUAACUGUCAAUAUUAAAAGAAGCAUAAAUAAAAAGUAAAAACAAGUUUACAAUCUAAUAAACAAAAAUAAAAUAAGAUAUUCUAAUUAUCGAUUUCCAAUUUAAUAAAUUGUUCAUGAUAUUCCAUCUCUUCAAUGCCCACUCCAUAUAGUUGGUCUCCCAAGUGUAGAACAUAGCCAAUUUUGUAUAUAAAUUAAAGCCUCAAUUAUUUUGGGUGUAUUAACUCCUAAAUGAAUCAAAAACUCGCCCUACGGCACUAAAUGUCGACUCCAAAGCAACAAGAGAGAGAGGUUUGCAAGUAGAUCCCUUGCAAUCUUAAACAAAAUUGCAUAUCUUGGACAAUUUAACUUAAAAGUUGAAUUACUAGUUUUCAGUGGGGUCCAUUAGUUAUCUCUGAAUCUCAUCUUUUAACAAAUUAGCAUUGCUACUUCUUCCUUUUUUUUUUUUAAAAAAAAAAAAAUACCCAAAUCAAAAUUGUUGGACUCAUCCCAUGAUCAUCUGCAUAAGCCUCAACCAAAUUGUCAUUAAAGUCAUGAAUACCACCAUCUCCAUCAUUGGAUGCACUAUGCCAUCCUUUAUACCUAUUUUACAACUCGCGAUAAAAUCUUGAUUUCAUUUUUUCGAUUCAACCAAGCUAUUAUCAUAAAAGUGACCAAUACAAUAAACUACUUCCAACUUGUACCGAGGAUUCAAUCACAAUAGCUCUAAUAUCUGUAUUUUGUUCAUUUUAUCAACAAUCCCCCAAUACUUGUCGAAUUCACUCUUCAUGUUUUUUGCCAUAUCACUAAAUAAAAGAUCUUGCUAUGCUAAAUUUCUUCAAAAUUUGUUGAAUAUUACGAACUUCUUAAAAGUACAAAUUCGAGGUCACAUUCAAAGAUUCACUAAAAUUUUAAGUGAUUUUGUGAAAGGUUUCUAGAUACUUAAUAAUUUCCUCAUAUUUUUCCCAAUUGUCUCUUGUAAUUACCUCCUAUUUCCUUCCCAUUCUCACGCUCAUCAAAAUAUAUGCAAUAAAACCCAUAUUCCUUUGCCAUCCGAUCUAAUAGUUUCUCAAACUUAAGUGCACCAUCCAACAUCAAGUAUGUUGCAUUCCACCGAGUAAGCUAAUUUUUGCACUAAUUUCUUCUUUUAUCACAAAUCUUGAAUUUUGCUAAUCUUGAAGGGGAUGAUCCAAAAUAUUUCACGGCAUUCGUAUACUUGCUAUUGCCACGUUAAACUCUUUCAACUCAUCUUUUACCAUUACAUUCAAAAUAUGUGCACACCUUACAUGCGUAAGGGACCCACAUAAUGCCAUCCUAUCAACUUUCCCAUUCUUUAAUAUAUUUUUCGUAUUCAAUAGCCCUAUCAUUUGCACUUGUAUUAACAGUAGUAAUUAUGGAUACAUGCUCUAUUUUCUAGUCAAGCCAACAUUUUUCAGCAAGUUUUACUAUUGUUUUUCCUUUAUGGUUACGAACUAUCGAAACUCAAUAUCCUCUUAUUUAACACCCAGUUUUUGUCAAUAAAAUGGGACGUGAUAACCAUGUAAUUAAUAUAUUUAUUUAUGUCUUGCAAUUUGUGGUAAGACACAACUCUUGCUUAUUAGCAAUAAGCUUACCUUUCAAUAAUUCUCUCUUCACUAUAAAGUUUUAGCACGUCCCUAUUAACUAUUCUACGAGAUGGAAUAUCUGACUUAGGGCAUUCAUAUCCUAUAUAUUUUCUAAACCCAACACCAUCAAUAAAGCUAACGGCAAUUCAUUGACAAUAAUCAUUUUCACCAUUGCCUUCCUACAUGCUUCUUUGUUAAACACCAUAGCACCAAUAUCGGCAAUGCCACCGUUACCACCAUCAUUGUCAUUUAAUCAUCUCGUUAGUACCUUGUCUUUAAUCUAUUUGGUACUCUUGUAUGCUUUGCAAGUGUUUCCACAAGUUAGAAGUUUUAGUUUCAUUGGAAUCAUGAGCAUAAGAUUCCCACAUAGCUACAUUCUGCCCUUUUUCCCUUGUAUCUUAGUAAAAUGUUACCAUACUUUCGAUCUCACAUUCAGGCUUCUUUUAUUUUCAACAAUCUCUGCGUUCAUCUACGUGACAAAUAGUAGAAAAUACGUAAAACAAAAAACUGAUUCUAUACUAUGAAAUCAAUGGUUUUCAUGGCAACAAUCUUCAAACUUCUUAAGUUGUUCAUCCUAAUAGAAUUCAUUUCUUCCAAAGUAUACUUCAUUCUUCAUUUUGUAAUUAUAAAGAUUCAACUGAAAAAGAAUUCUAUGUUGGGAAUUGGAAAAUGGAAAUCAACUUCUAUUGUAAGUCCUUUGUAAAGAAAUAGUUGCAAAUUUUUUCCAAAUUGUAAAGACUCUUUAUCCAAAUUUUAAAGACUCUUUAGCAUGUCAUUAAUCAAAUCAAGCUAUAUCUUCGUACUCGUAAUCUACUGACUGCAAUGGGUUGUGAAAAACAUUCAGAUUGCAAUCUCUUUAGUCUUUAACGCUUAAUAAUCUAACUUAUACUGUAUAUACUUAAAGUUUACACAAUAUAAAUAUUGUCUUCUCAGCAUUAAUAUAGAUUUCAUUAAUUUAAAUAGCAUAAUGUUUCAGCAUCAACUGAUAAUGAAUUUUUGCAUACAAGAUAAAAAUAAAGUCAUAAAUUAUCACGUUGUUCAAUAAAUCCUAUAAUUGAAUUCAGUGAAUGAAGACCAAACAAGGCAACAACCAAACAAUCCAACUCCAAGCUCAAAUUUAGAUUGCUCUAGAUUUACUAAACAUUAUAUAUUUGAUAUAGGAGCAUACAAAUUGAUAAAGAACAAUAAGAAGAAAGGGGAUCAAAAGGAAGAAAUGAGGGCAAGAGAAAACUUUUAUUCAUAUAAUUAUGGUCUGUUUAUAAACAUUGUCCUAAGUCUCUUUAUAUAGAGGACUUCGAAAUUAAAUAAACUUCCUAGUAUCAAUUUGGUAUCGGAGCAAUGAGAAGAAACGGGAUCAAAUAGAAGAAUUGAGGGCAAGAGAGAUAGUUUUAUUCAUAUAAUUCAGGUCUGUUUGUAAACAUUCCCCUAAAUCUGUUUAUAUAGAGAAAGACUUUGAAAUUAAAUAAAUUUCAUAUCUAAACAAACUUGAAAUAAAAGAUAACAAUUGUCAUAAUCAAACUACUAUAAUAUAGAUAAACUGGAAUUCUAUUAAUUCUUAGUUUUUCGUCUUGAAUAGACUUUUAGUUGUUUCCUUGUUGUGUCAAUAUUGCUCCAGUCCAGAAUUCGUCGAUUAAAGUUUAAUUCUUAAAAAAAUCAUACAACAGUUUAUAUAUAAAAAAAUACAUCUAGGUAUUUUAAUUCAAACUCGAUUAUCUUCAAUAAUGUCAAGGUGAUCUCGAGAAGAUCUUGAUUCUUGACAUCAUAUCAAUUUUGAUAAAAUGAGAGAUUUGAGUUCUUGCGAAAGAUCAAAUAGAAGAUAUAUUUUUCCCUUUUGGGGUUUGCACUAAAAUUAUGAAUUUGUAAAGUAUUUAUAGAAUUAUUUAGAACGUGGAUUUUGAUAUUUUGAAUCUUGAUUACGGAGUAGGUUUUCCUUACAAAGGAUAGAGUCAGAAUUGUAGAAGUGUAUCAAAAGGUGGUGUGAGAUAAUUCUUGACCUAGGACUUUAUAGCCUGUUUGGUAUGGAUUAUUUUAAUCUAAGUCAACGUCAAACAAUCAAUAUUAACCACAUCUUUCAUGGUUUCCAUAACUUUUCAACCAUAAAUUUCAAAAACUUCUAUCACGAUCUACUGAAAAAUAUAAUUUUAAUCCCUACCAAACACCCUUUUAAUGUCAAAAUAUGAGGACCUGGUAUAUCUUGGUGCAAUGCACCUAUGUAAUAUAAAUUUUGGGAAAAUCAUCUGUUCUCAUGGCUGCACUGAAAACCAGAUCGAGCCACUUAGUAAAGGAAUAGGAGCCUGGAAAGAUUGUCCACCUCUAGGAAAUUGUACUUCAAUUUUGUUCAAUUGGGUAACUAAAAUUUUUCAUUUCAAUUGGAUAAUUUGAUUUUAAUCAAAUAACUAGGUUUUGAUUUUAUUUAAAUUAAAGUAACUUCGUCCAAUUCCACCAACAAAAAUUGAUGACGUGGCUAUUUAUAAAUUUUGGUCAUCAUACAUAACCGUCAGAUGCUAAUGGGAAAUAUGUACAACUUAAGUGAAAUCAAUGACGACCGUCGUUUUUUAAUUGUCACGUCAUUGAUAUUGUCUGUCCAAGUGAUAGAAUCAUAGAAAUCCAUUUGAAAUCAAAUUAAAGUGUAGUUAUACAAUUAAACAAACAUCAGUAUCUAGGUAUUGACUCCAGAUGAAAAUGUAGUUACCUCAAAUGGAAUUUAUCCAUGUAAAAACCUAGUAAGAAUGAAAUAUGCCUUUGGAGAAUCUAUAUUUCUAAUAUAUAUCAAUUAUCUAGGAGUAACAAAACAUCAUUCCUCUUUUGUUUGCUAAUACAAGGUGAUUGAUGUUUGUUUAGGUACAGCCUUGUAGGUUUCAAAAACUCGACUUUUCCACAUAGUAAUUGCUACUGGAGUAUACAUAUGUGCAAUUGAGUUUUCUUAUCCAAAAUAUUGUUUACUUGCUAGAUAUAUAUGUCGAAAAGUGUGCUAAAUCACCAUUGCUGCAAACAAUCAAGUUCUUUUGGGGCUUUUUGGAGGCUUUCACCUCCAUAAGUAUUUGUUUUUUCCCAAGAAGUUUCGAUUCCAUUGUUAAGUGGUCUCAAGUGAUGUUUUGUCACAUAUAUUAGUUUCGAGUUUUUUGUAUCUUUUCUUUUACCCAUCUUUUUCUUUGUUACUUGAUGAAGAUUGUUGAUUAUUAGCAUUAUAUGAGUUAACAAUCAAUUAAUAAGAUAAUGGGUAUCAUGAGAUUUUAGGUGUUAUAUGUUAAGCCACUUUAUGUAAAAGCUUAAGUUAUUCAUAUUUUGUCUUUGCCUAUCAUGCACACAUUUUGAUAAAUGCAUUUUUUUGUGGGCAGCAUUGCCGCCUCUCGUAUAACGUAGAACCAUUUUUGUCUGAAAGCUUAAGCCAUUAUAAGGGGAUACAUUUAUUUAUUCAAGUUUUAUUUUCAAAGUUAUGGAAUAUAUGUAGUGUCUUGAAAUUAAAAAUGUCAAUUUCCUUGUAAUUCCUCAUGGUUUGAACUCCGUGCAACGGAUAAGCGUAUUAAAGAGCCAUACAAAAGUGCAAUUUUUUUUUCUUCGUUUACUUUGGCUGUAAUGACCCGGACCUCUCGUCCAAGCCGUUAGUUUACGUACUGUCCGCUUUGGGUGGCCACUUAUCCCUCACGACUUUUCUUCGCGUCCCCCAGGAUUCGAACUCUUGACCUCUACAUAAAAGAGAUUUAAGUUGAAUCAUUAUAUUAAUUGGAAAAAAUGCGCGCGUUUUUUUGUAACGACCCGGACCUCUUGCCCAAGCCAUUAGCUUACGUCCUGUCUACUUUGGGUGGGCCUUGCGCCCACUUAUCCCUCACGGCUUUUCUUCGCGUCCCCCAGGAUUCGAACUCUUGAUCUCUACAUAAAAGAGACUUAAGUUGAAUGCUCUAAAACAGACAGGACGUAAGCUAACGGCUUGGGCGAGAGGUCCGAGUCGUUACAUUGACCCAUCUUAUGAAUGAACCAUUGCAAUAUGCAUGUCACACACUUGACACUGUACUCUUAUUAGAGCUUGGAGUGUCAUGCUGAGUAUUAUUGAUAUUAGCUUGCUCCUGCUCUUAUACUGUUAUGAUUUUUAUGACCAGCAUUUUUAUUUUCAUUUAUUUAUUUGUUUAUUUAAUUUUUUGUUUCAUUUAUGUAUUGCUUUCUAUCUUUCCAGUUCAGUUAGAUUAAUGCUGGUUACACUUGUAAGUAACCUCAGACUGGGCUGAGAUGUUUUUUGGUUGACAAAUAUUAUUUGUAGAACAUCUUUAAUAUGCUGACUGGAUGAUUUAGAUUAAUAUUUGUUUCAUUUGCACAGGGUUCCACAAUCUCCUGAUUCAGCUGACCGUUCCCCAUCUCCAAGGUAAGUAUUUUGAUCAUGAUAACCUCUGGUGGUCUCUUCUACUUAAUUUUUUCUUGCUCCUUAAGAAUAAGCUUUUGGUUCCCUUUAGCAGCAGGAGGCCUUCCAGGCCAAUUAGCAAAUCCUUUUCCAAUUCUAAAAGUUAUUCUGAGUGGAUUUCCAUUUGAUGUCAGAGUGUGCUCAUAAUUUUGAUAGAUUGUGAUUUGUUAUCUGGUUUUCAUUUUAGUGAAAGACGGAGGUCAAGAAGUAUAUCUGGAUCACCUCCACCGAGAGGACGGUCCAUUUCCUCUGAGAGGCCACGUCGAUCUUCACCAAGACUGUCUGGGACACCGAGGAGGAGGCAUUCGCCUCGUCUCUCUCCUCCACCAAGGUAUAGGUCAACCCGCACUAGGAGAAGAUCUAUAUCGCAUUCAAGGCACAGGUCUCCUUCUCCCACACGAUAUAGGGUUCGUUCCCCUCUGCGUCGCAGGUCACGAUCUCCUUUGCGACGUAGAUCAAGAUCUCCCGUGUGGCGUAGGUCAAGGACACCAAUACGAAGAUCACCAGUGCAAUACAGGUCCCGUUCACCCGUGCGACGCAGAUCACCACCUGUGCGACGCAGAUCACCACCUGUGAGACGUAGAUCACCGUCUCCUAUCCCACGACGAUCACUGUCUCCUAUGCGACGACGAUCACCUUCCCCCCCUCGUCGUAGGUUGCCAUCCUUUCGUCGUAAGUCACCAUCCCCUCAUCGUAGGUCACCAUCUCCUGUAAGAAGGCAGCACCGACGAUCACCUUCAACUCCACGGCGCCAGUCUAUAUCCCCAGUUCGGCACAGGUUACCAGUGCCCAGUCGAAGAAGAUCUAUAACACCUGCCAAACGAAGGUCUCCUUCAGUGCAAGAAUCUAUUUCCCCCUCUCCCAGUUCCCUUUCACCAGUCAGGAGGCGAUCACUGAAAAGCCAGAAAUCACCUCUACGAUCUCCCAGAGAAGCAAUCAGGUACUUUAGAGCAUGUUAGCUGCUUUCGAUCUUUAAGAAUUUUUUGAUAUUUGUAUUUUAUUUUGCUUUCAAGCGUAUGGUUUGCAUGUGUUUUUGUUACUGUUACAGUUUAGAUGCUUUAGUGCACAUCUGCAGCAAUGAUAAUGGCGGAACAGACAUUUUUUUUUUUUUAAAAUUAGGAUGCCUAGGAAUACGACAAAAACAAAUCAAUUGAGAUGACACACCCCUUUUAAGCAACUGUGAUAUGUCACGACAGUGUAAUGGUUCAUAAAAAAGAGAACAGGACGUUAUCUACAUAAAAGAACACUGAAGAGACAACACAAUGAAAUUAUGUGCUUAAGACUGUUGGCAUCCUUCCACAUAACACCUAAGCACAGCCCAUAUGAACCAUAACUCAACCAAUCUACUCCAGUUAUUAAAAAAAACCUCGUGUCUUCUUUAUAGAAUAAAAGGAACAUGCUUGAAAUACAGACCUCUAAACGAGGAGGUGCCUCAAAUGGCAAGAUCAUUAAUUUGUUUAUCCAAUAUUCUACCUUUUUGCUGGCACUUCAUUCUUAACUGUAGAUAAAUAGUUCAUUGAAUUGCAACAGAACUUUCCUAUAGCUUUAGUCGGAGGGCAGAAAUGUGAGUUAAUUUUUUUUCUGUAAGGUCCAUUUCCUAGUUUGAAAAGAAUUCAUAUUUUUGUUUUUAUUGUUUAAGGGACAGGGAAACAUGCAAUAUAUCAUGAUGAUGUGGCAGAUAAAUGAAAAUAUUUGAGUGUUGGUAACAGCCACACAAGAAAAAAGUGUGCUCUUUGUUUAAUGAGGUUGAUCAUGAUAUUUCCAGUAUUGCCACUCUCCUUUUUCUUCCCUCUGGUUUUAUCUCUGCUUUUUCCUUUGAUCUCUUGGAAGAACUGGGCUUUCAAAUUAGAGAAACUGGGGUAGAGAGCUGAGAUCUCUAUUAUAUAUCUGGUGAAUUUUGCACGAUUUUGUGUUAUGAGAUGACCAUCUGUACUAUUUCGACUUAUUGCUCUAUUUCCAUUCAAACUGGAUUCCCAUCUGCAUGCACUUUCCUAGUUUGCAGUAGCUGUAAAAAUUUUGAUGCAUAAAAUUCCUGCUGCUGGGGAAUAUGCAUAGAAAGCAGGCUUACUUGAUCUUUGAUCUCUCUAAACUCUAAUCCAAACUCUGAACUGUAGGCCUCUUGUUUCUUUGAGAUCACCGCAAAGGGACAUGCUGGAUCGAAAUGACCAACGUGGAAGAGUGCUGGAUCCGUCUCCUCUGCACAAGUCUCCAUCUGCUUCCGAAGUGUCUGGGGAAGGAAAUCAUAUUGAACGGCAGAGGUUCAAACCUCUAUCUAUAUCUACCUUUUGGUUUUUUUAUCACAUUUUCUUGAGGUGUAACAUUGUAAGUCACAUUUUAUUUGGAUAGGUCUAGUAGUCCUCAUCGUAGUCCUUAUCAAAGAAGGGAAAGGAUCAUUCUUCCUGAGAGUCCAAACCCUUUACCGAAAGGAAUGGGAUCCAAACCUCAUCCUGAUAGUUCUGGGACAAGUGCUGAUGACAGGUAAACCUUGUAUGCUAGGUUUUGUUUGAAAAGUUCAUUGUUCUCGAACGUGGUAUUUUUUACUCUAAAUUUCUGAGUUGUGCAUGGUUUUAUUUUUUAUUUAGAGAGAUUGGAAAGCUUAAACAUAGAUCUUUAGAGAAAAAUUCUCCAUCACAUGAUCGGCAUAAAGAUUCUUUUGGCUUUGAUGAUCAUGUGAAGUCAAGAAAUCCUCGUCAACUGCCAGACAGGUUUGCUGUUGCUGUGGUACAUUCUGUCUCAGUAGUCUAUAGUUUGUGUAUAACUGAUCUAAUUUUUGUAUUUUUUGUUUUUAUUUGAAUAAACCAGUGAAAAGUUAGCUGAAAGAGUGGAUCACAUAAUAAAUCCCGAGAAACAAGAAUCAUUAGUGAUUCGUAAAAGCGCCAUAUUAAGAGAGGAAGGAAAGGGAUCAUAUGUUGACAAUGAUUACAGAGCUGUUGAUAAGAAUACAUCUGUGUAUGACGAUACCAAGGGCAGUGGUCGACAUUCAGAACUUGAAGUCUUGCCUAAUUUGUCUGGGGCAGACAAGCUGAAUGCUCGAAGUCGUUCAGUGGGAUUCAACUCUGAGGAAACUGACAGGCAUAAAACUAAAAUUAAAGAAAAGGGAAAGCACAAGAGGUCAGAGAGACAAGAGGUGGAAUCAGAUGACUAUUCUAGCUAUGAUUCUUAUGAGAAGAGGAAGGAGGCUAAGAGGAGGAAAAAAGAGGAGAAGAAAUUGAAAAAGGAGGAGAGGCAUCGACGGCGGGAGGAACGGCGCCGCAGAAAAAAGGAAAAGCAUGCAGAGAAGCUGAAAUUGAAGUCGCUUGACGCUGGUAGUCCAUCUUUAGAUAUUGAGAUUGAUCAUGAUCGUCAUGCUUCUUAUGAUGACGGUUAUAGAAGGCGGGAAACGCAUACAAGUGACAUGGAGGAAACAGAAUCUGAGCAGAAAAAGCUUGAGAUAGAGUUGAGGGAAAAGGCUCUUGAGUCGCUUCGAGCAAAGAAGGGCGCUCAGAAUUAAAUUUUUUUGCUGCUCUAGAAUAUUUCACUUUUAUUUUCUGUUAUAUGAUCCUGUUAUGAGUUCCUGUUUCUGUCCUAGACCUAUUCUGUUUCGGAUGAAUGUAUUCUUGGUGGCUAUUUAAUGUAAUGUGUCUUUACUGCUGGCAGCUGAAUGGAUAAAUGAGGAUUUCCUGAGCUAGUGUCUUGAGUGCAACUUUAUGCUGACUUUCCUGCUAAAUUUGCUGGUAAUAUUUGUCUUCCCUUCACUGGGAAUAUGUUUAUGUUAUAUUUACACGACACAAAAGUGUGCACGUGAAUCAUCUUGUUGCUUGGGUGGUGCUUUCCAUCUUUUACUAUUUUGUGUCUACUAUACUUACAUUUUGGUAUUUGCUUGUCUUCUGUGAGUUGGAAUUUCAAUUAAGCUUGCAGGUAAGGAGUGCCUAACCUUUUAUUCUUUGGAAUGAUUAUGUGCAUCCUGAAGGUCUUGACAGUUAUUUCCCUAAAUAACUUUGUUACUAAAAUGACUUUCUGGUUAAUUGAUAGAUGAGAAUAAUUGUCAACUUGACGACUUCGUUGAGCAGAUCUUGUGCAACUCCAUAUUUUAGACCUCCAUACAGGUGAAGUAUUUUACUCUUAGUUGGUUUCUCUUAAAUAAUUAUUUACUUGGUUGAGAUUUGAAUUUCGAAUUCUGUCAGAGUUCUAAUUCUACCUCUGUAUCGUUGGCAGCCUGAGAGUUAUUCCCAAGAAUUUGAUUUUCUAUUCUACAUGAUACCUUUAAGUUCCUGUUCAUCCUGUUUCCAUGUUGAUUGCAGCUGGUAAUCAAUACUGGUGCAUAAUUGUGGUGCGAUUUUGUAUGUGAACACUUAUGGUUUAAUUGUUCAACAAGGUCAUUAACUGUUUGAUUUUCUUUGUUCGUGUUCUGCCCGCUAUUUCUUUUGUUCAAUUAUUGUUAUUUUUUUUUAUUAAUAUUAUAUAUGUUGGUGGUGGUGGUGGGGUGGAUCCUUGUGCUUCAUGUUUGUCCAUAUUGAUUCACUCUGUAGUGGGGGGCAUGCAAUGUUGACACAUGAAUUUCAUAUGAUGACUCUGUUAAUAAUCAUUCAUAUACUGAUUAUAUCUUUGCUAAAUAUGAUUUAACAUUUAUUCACAUUCCUAUGCCUUUUUUCUGGAAAGAUGUACGUUCUACUGGUUAUUGGGUGGAUGGAGAAAUGAUCGCAGCUAAGGAUUCAGUUUUUGUUAAUUUCUGACUGUUGAGGCAUUUGACAUUUUAGCUGCGUCAUAUAUCUACUCUUCUCUUCUCCCUCGUAGAUUUGUAACUUUGCAACUCAAUCUAGGAUUUGCUUCCAAGCUUUUGACAUCUGUGAAAAAACAUGUACCUGUUUCGGGGCAUUAUCUCUGCAUAUAAACGUGGUUGGUGAAAAAAUUGUGAUUCAGCUAAUAUAUGUUUGAAUUCUAUCCAUUACAGGCGUUACCGUUGCAUAUUAACGUACCUGUUUCCAAGCAUGAAUAAAAGGGUCGAGUUAGGUAGUUUGGGAGUCAAAACAGCUUAAAAUUGUCACUUUUGUCAUGACUAGGAUUUGUGGAGUCAACUUUCAAGCUCUGAUGCUCGAACUCUUCGAACUGGUUGGAGUACCCGUGUCAGACACGACAUGGGUAUGGGUAUGGGUAUGGGUAUGAGUAUGAGAUGUGUCAGAUCCUCCAAGUUUCAACUAGAUACUUUGCCCUUUUCGCUUCUUCUUUCGUUUUUCUUUUCCUUCUCUUAUCGUUUCUAUUCUCUAUAAACCUAGUGCCACCUUCGAGAGGGUGGAAAAAGGUGACGGCACUAGAUUUUUCCUUUCCCUUUUCUUUUCUUCUUCUUUUUUUUUUCCCCUUCUUUCCCUCUCUGUAUCGGUGGUUUAAGGUUUUAUUUGUAUAAAAUGAAAAUGAGUUUCCUGUAAUACUACUAAAUGCUCCAUUAAAUUCAAAUUGCAAUCAAGUCCCUCAUAUUCUAUUUUAUAUAACAUUUAGUAAUUAAAUUCUCAUAAUUGAAAAUUAAAUCUCAAAAUUCUAUUUUAUUCGUUUUAACUCUUUAUUCAAUAUUAUUUCCUUUUUUGUGAAUAAUUGAUUUUGGUCUAUUCAAAAUAAUAUCUUAAGUUAAAAGUUGAAGUUUGAAAGACUUACGUAUGACCAAAAUUUAGAUUUUUUUUAGCCAUGUACUCGUAUCCUAUAUUUUAGAAAAUAAAAGAUCCGACACUUAGAUAUAUAUCCAUACCUGAUACCCAUGUCCAAGUCCGAGCAUCAUAGCUUUAAAGCUUUGUCAAGUUAAGCUAAGCACACACAUGCUUGAGUGAUGACACAUCUUAUCAUGUUCCCAUGUGAGACUGCAAUCAUAAGUGGUUGGCAUAGAAAACUGCAUCUUUUGGUUAAGCAUGAAUAAAGAGAUAGGUUGGUAGUCAAUCUGCUUAAAAUUGUGACUUGUUUCAUGACUAGGACCUGUGGAAUCGACGUUUAAGUAUGGAUAAAGAUCUGCUUUGCUCAUACAUGCUUGAGUGGUGUAACUUAUCAUUUAAAUGAGACUGCAAAAGUAUGUAGUUGGCUGAGAAAACUUGCAUCUUAUGAGCAAGUUUUGAAAGGUUUCGAGUUUUUUGAAAAUUGCAGUAACUUCCCUAAAAAUGAUGAAAAGAAGGCCAUAAAGGUUGAGACGUGUGUUGACUACAGAGAUAGAUUCGUUCAUACACACCAUUCAAGAAUUGGCAACCAAUAAUAGGAUCACUUUUGCUUUGAAAAAUCGAACUUGAGCACAUUUGAGUUGUGCUUAAAACUAUGUCAGACUUGCUUUGAAGUAACUUAUUUUUGCCAAAAAUGAUUUUCAAAUUUAGUAUUUUUAACUGAAAUUGCUUUUAUAGAAAGUAAGUCUUUUAAGCGCAAUCAAACAUGAUUUAGGUGUUGUGUCGAACACUGGCUUGGCAUGCUAACUGUAGUCGUGCAUAGAUGCAAGUGAAAUGGUCAUGACAUUAUUUUAUUUGCUGCUUUUUCCUUUUUAACAGUGAUUUGAGAAUGCCAGUGUACAAAUGUGCAUAUCUAUUAGACAUCCAGUGAAGUAACGGUAGUAUAAUCUAUCGUUCUUGAUCAUUUGAGGUUGGUUUUCUUGUUCCAUUUUAUCUUGCUUCCUUCAAGAUGUUAUUCUUCAUCAUUCUCCAUAUGGUCCUAUAAAAAAUGUCCUUUUUCAUGCUGUAUAUAUGAUGUUGUCCUGCCCUGCCCUGCCCAUCUUCGUGCUGUAUAUCCUUGAUUUUCUUGGUAGUGUGUCUAAAAAAGCCAUAGAAUCCUCGCUUUUUCUGCAUUCAGACGACGUGUUAGUUUGAUUUUCCCAUAUAACUUGGUGGUUCUCUUGUAUGCAGUUUGAUAAGAUUUGACCCCAUAAGCAGACCGACACGUAGAUUACAGCUGCUUUAAUUGGAUUCAAACUUUUAGGCUUGGUAUACAGUUAAUAAAUUGUAUGGAUGAACUUGUGUAGUUCAUAUGGUGGGCAAUGGUUUUCCAGGUUUUUUCAUACCUAGUGUGUACUGGCGUAACAACAAAAAUGAAGUUUUGUGUAACAAAUUAUAAUUGACUCCUUUUAUUACAAUUGUCAUGAGAUGAUCUACCACAACUAACGAAAAUUAAGUUUUGUGUUUAACAAAUUUAUAAUUGACUCUUUUUUUUUUUUUUUUAUAAUUGUCGUGAGAUGAUCCACCACAAC
rnacentral:lncRNA from 1 species